UGGAAAGAAAAUGAGAGUGACCUCUGUCC
rnacentral:piRNA from 1 species